CAUAUUAGACUCAUAAGGGAUACUUAAUAAUUAAUCACACAUCCUUAUGAAGUCAAAUCAUGCAAGGUCAUAAACUCCACAAAAUUUACGUCGUUAUCAAAUUACUCAUAUUACUUAAAAAUAUGGUAGGACAAGUUAACAUAGCACACCAUAAAAACUAUUAGAAAAUGACUAUAUUAUAUCACAAACUAUUAAUACAUAUAUGCAAGCACCAAUGACACUAUCACAUGACUAGAAAUCCACAUGAAAGUCUACGGAGGAAGGAUUAAGCUUUUCAAACAAAAACACUCAAGUUUGGCAAAUGACAAUUCUCCUAAUAGUCAUAAGUAUUCUCUUUAAUAUAAAGACCAACAUAUUGCAAAAACAUUCCAUUAUUUAUCAAAUUAAGCCGUCCACUUUUAUGAGAAAAUUCUUAUUUGUUCAAUUCAAACACCAGGAUUUUUAUAUUAUGUUACAAUCCUUCAAUAUAUAUAUGUCAACUCAUUUGAUAAACACCUUUUUAAUUUUAAAAUUAACAAUAAUAAUUUUUCAUAAUCCAUUAAUUAAAUUGAAGCAAGUAGACUUUAGAGAUGCAGGAGCAUGUAAUACGGUAGCUCAUAUUUUCAUCCAAAACAAAUAUUUCUCAAAACAAUGAAUACAUGAUAACUCAUCUUAAUAAAAAAAUUAAUCGCAAGGAUGUACACAGUAUUCUCAUCAUAACAAAAAAUUAAGAUUAUCAUUUUCAUUAAACUAUAAAAUAUAAUCACUAAAUUUUUAGGUAAAUUCAACACCGUCAAUCAAUCACAAAUUCAACAUAAAAUUAAGAAGUUGUGAGGUUAAUUAGAACUUAGAGUAUGUACCUGACACCUUGUGGAUGAUUUUAAGGGGAGUAAUAAUAUUAUGCUUACAAUUGUACAUGCUCCAGUUCCUUUCGCGGACAAAGAAGGGCAAACCCCCACAUUUUGACGUUAACCAAAAUAGAGUGAAAAUAAAAUCAACGCCGUCGGAGUUUCGUUAAAUGCAGACCCGGAGGCCAUCAACCUCAAUCUUGUUACCAUUGUCGUGACCAUAUCCAGCCAUAAUUCCUUAGAUUGUUGUCGCGGAUGGCUGGAAUACAAAUAACCGGAGGCGUGUAAUCACUGAACUAAGGAAUUAUCAGCAAAUAUUGCGCAACUCCCCCAGAAUACAACCGGUUCUUCUCGACGAUAAACAUGUCGAGGCUAUCAAGACAUGAGAAUGUCACAAGGUAGGUAACUCAGACACUUUAUUUGCUUAUUAGAACUUAUGUGUUCGAAGGUUAGAUAAAAGAAACAAUGAGGUAAGUAUAUAUUAUAAGUUGCCCAAAACUCUUGUUUUUUUUGUUCUUGCUCAUACUCGGUUAUAUAUAUCAUACACAUAGGAUUCCUAUGUUAACUGAUAAUCCUCCUUUUUAGCUACUAUAAUCCCUAUUAUGUAGCAUUCACCACUAUCUAUUAACUACCAAAUUGCAAACGUUCAUUCAUAUUAAUUUACAUGAAAUUAAUGCAUUAAGUAUAAAUAUAAAUAUAAAUUAAUUAAUUUGAAAGUAACAAAACG
rnacentral:lncRNA from 1 species